rnacentral:rRNA from 1 species
CCGGAGCUUGCUCCACCGAAUUGACUGAGUCGCGAACGGGUGAGUAACGCGUAGGUAACCAACCUUAUAGCGGGGGACAACUAUUGGAAACGAUAGCUAAUACCGCAUAACAAUGACAAACACAUGUUAGUGAUUUGAAAGGGGCAAAUGCUCCACUAUAAGCUGGACCUGCGUUGUAUUAGCUAGUUGGUAGGGUAAAGGCCUACCAAGGCUGCGAUACAUAGCCGACCUGAGAGGGUGAACGGCCACACUGGGACUGAGACACGGCCCAGACUCCUACGGGAGGCAGCAGUAGGGAAUCUUCGGCAAUGGGGGGAACCCUGACCGAGCAACGCCGCGUGAGUGAAGAAGGUUUUCGGAUCGUAAAGCUCUGUUGUCAGAGAAGAACGGGUGUGAGAGUGGAAAGUUCACACAGUGACGGUACCUGACGAGAAAGGGACGGCUAACUACGUGCCAGCAGCCGCGGUAAUACGUAGGUCCCGAGCGUUGUCCGGAUUUAUUGGGCGUAAAGCGAGCGCAGGCGGCUCUGUAAGUCUGAAGUAAAAGGCAGUGGCUUAACCAUUGUGUGCUUUGGAAACUGCGGGGCUUGAGUGCAGAAGGGGAGAGUGGAAUUCCAUGUGUAGCGGUGAAAUGCGUAGAUAUAUGGAGGAACACCGGUGGCGAAAGCGGCUCUCUGGUCUGAGACUGACGCUGAGGCUCGAAAGCGUGGGUAGCGAACAGGAUUAGAUACCCUGGUAGUCCACGCCGUAAACGCU